rnacentral:rRNA from 1 species
CCUACGGGCGGCAGCAGUGAGGAAUAUUGGUCAAUGGCCGGAAGGCUGAACCAGCCAAGCCGCGUGAAGGACGAAGGUGCCAAGCAUUGUAAACUUCUUUUGUCAAGGGACAAAAUCAGGCUCGAGAGCCUGACCGAGGGUACUUGAAGAAAAAGCAUCGGCUAACUCCGUGCCAGCAGCCGCGGUAAUACGGAGGAUGCGAGCGUUAUCCGGAUUUAUUGGGUUUAAAGGGUGCGUAGGCGGACUGUUAAGUCAGCGGUAAAAGGCCGGGGCUCAACCCCGGCGAGCCGUCGAAACUGGCUGUCUUGAGAUGUCGAGAGGUAGGCGGAAUGCGCAGUGUAGCGGUGAAAUGCUUAGAUAUUGCGCAGAACUCCGAUUGCGAAGGCAGCAUACCGGCGGCGAUCUGACGCUGAGGCACGAAAGCGUGGGUAUCGAACAGGAUUAGAUACCCCAGUAGUC